AGGGAUUGUNAUCUUGUAUUGGAAUGAUGGGAAUUUAAACCCCUUCCAGAGUAUCAAUUGGAGGGCAAGUCUGGUGCCAGCAGCCGCGGUAAUUCCAGCUCCAAUAGCGUAUAUUAAACUUGUUGCAGUUAAAAAGCUCGUAGUUGAAUUUCUGCUGUUUCGUUGACUGCGUUUGGCGUUUGUCAUCGUUGCGGCUUGGUUGGGUUCCGAUUAUUCGUUUCCCGGCGUUUACUUUGAGAAAAUUAGAGUGCUUGAAGCAGGCUUUUGCCUUGAAUACUUUAGCAUGGAAUAACGGAGUAGGACUUUGGUUCUAUUUUGUUGGUUUUAGGAGCCAGAGUAAUGGUUAAUAGGAACAGUUGGGGGCAUUCGUAUUUGACUGUCAGAGGUGAACAUUCUUAGAACACAUACGUAUUAGGUAUAUAAGAUUAUCCUUUCUUUUGAUAUAAAGGAUUUUAACUACCAAUCUAACGGUAUCCAUUUCAUUCGUUACAAUAGCUUCCAUUUGAGUCUCUGCACCUAUCUCUUUUUUAUUCUCAUUUUCCAUUUUUUUUUUAAAAUUUGGCUCAGGAUUGCCCAUUUUUAAUUUCCAGGGUUUCUCUGAAUUUGGAAGUUAACACUUUACAGGUUUCCAUACCAAGGCUCAAUCCAAUCCAGUCCGUACCNCC
rnacentral:rRNA from 1 species